rnacentral:misc_RNA from 1 species
CUCACAACCAAGUUGGCGCUAUCCUGAGACAUUUUAUUGAUAAUGCUUAAUAAAUUUGAAUCAAGGGCAUAUUCAACAUUAAAGUGCAUAUAUGAAGAAUAUUAGCAACAUCAAGGACCAGGAACAAAGGUGUUGAACCAUUAUCUUUUCUUCAACAAGCAAUGAGUUUUUAUAAGAUUAAUAGUUUCAUCAGACCAAACUAAUGCAUGGAGAUAUCAUUGGCUAUACAUAC